rnacentral:piRNA from 1 species
UAGGUACCAGAAAAGAAUAUGAGAGACGUG